rnacentral:rRNA from 1 species
GGUGAACGCUGGCGGUAGGCCUAACACAUGCAAGUCGAACGGCAGCACAGUAAGAGCUUGCUCUUACGGGUGGCGAGUGGCGGACGGGUGAGGAAUACAUCGGAAUCUACUUUUUCGUGGGGGAUAACGUAGGGAAACUUACGCUAAUACCGCAUACGACCUACGGGUGAAAGCAGGGGAUCUUCGGACCUUGCGCGAUUGAAUGAGCCGAUGUUGGAUUAGCUAGUUGGCGGGGUAAAGGCCCACCAAGGCGACGAUCCGUAGCUGGUCUGAGAGGAUGAUCAGCCACACUGGAACUGAGACACGGUCCAGACUCCUACGGGAGGCAGCAGUGGGGAAUAUUGGACAAUGGGCGCAAGCCUGAUCCAGCCAUACCGCGUGGGUGAAGAAGGCCUUCGGGUUGUAAAGCCCUUUUGUUGGGAAAGAAAAGCAGCAGGUUAAUACCCCGCUGUUCUGACGGUACCCAAAGAAUAAGCACCGGCUAACUUCGUG